GCUCUGGUGGCCCAAGUGGUUAGAGUGUCUUCCUUGGAUGUAGGAGGUUUCCGGUUCGAACCCCAGCCAAGACA